CAGCAGCCGCGGUAAUACGUAGGGUGCGAGCGUUAAUCGGAAUUACUGGGCGUAAAGCGUGCGCAGGCGGUUUUGUAAGACAGGCGUGAAAUCCCCGGGCUCAACCUGGGAAUGGCGCUUGUGACUGCAAAGCUAGAGUGCGGCAGAGGGGGAUGGAAUUCCGCGUGUAGCAGUGAAAUGCGUAGAUAUGCGGAGGAACACCGAUGGCGAAGGCAAUCCCCUGGGCCUGCACUGACGCUCAUGCACGAAAGCGUGGGGAGCAAAUGGGAUUAGAUACCCCCGUAGUCCCUGUCUCUUAUAC
rnacentral:rRNA from 1 species